rnacentral:lncRNA from 1 species
AUCUUCUUAAGUCGAGGGUCUAUCGGAAAUAGCCUCUCUGCCCCAUCGUAUAUCCAUCAAGUUGUUAAAAUAAUAAUAAGAAAGAAUUAGCAACGAUAUGAAACAACCAUUUUAGAGGUAAGAAAGACUUUGAACUUACGCGUACGAGUCCAAUACUCAGGGAAAGAGGGACUUGUGGUCGGAAUUGUAUCCCUGGUGGCAACAUUAACAAACUGCUCCAUCCAUCCAUGAUCAUUGUC